CCUACGGGAGGCAGCAGUGGGGAAUUUUGGACAAUGGGGGCAACCCUGAUCCAGCCAUGCCGCGUGUGUGAAGAAGGCCCUCGGGUUGUAAAGCACUUUCAGUGAGGAAGAACGCCUGGUGGUUAAUACCCAUCAGGAAAGACAUCACUCACAGAAGAAGCACCGGCUAACUCCGUGCCAGCAGCCGCGGUAAUACGGAGGGUGCGAGCGUUAAUCGGAAUUACUGGGCGUAAAGCGCGCGUAGGUGGCUUGAUAAGCCGGUUGUGAAAGCCCCGGGCUCAACCUGGGAACGGCAUCCGGAACUGUCAAGCUAGAGUGCAGGAGAGGAAGGUAGAAUUCCCGGUGUAGCGGUGAAAUGCGUAGAGAUCGGGAGGAAUACCAGUGGCGAAGGCGGCCUUCUGGACUGACACUGACACUGAGGUGCGAAAGCGUGGGUAGCAAACAGGAUUAGAUACCCCAGUAGUC
rnacentral:rRNA from 1 species